AUUUGUUUUGUCUGGUCCUUUGUAGUUUGAAUGUUGUCACAUGAUCCAAAUAGGACAAGCUGCAAGAUCACCACCCCAUUGGGAAGAAACUAAAUCACGACCCCCAAAUGGUAGUCUUCCCAUGCAGAUACAGGGAUGUCACACAGAUCCAAAUGGAAACAUCGAACACUGUAAAACCCACUGUGCAGACAGGACCAAUGGUGACAAUAUAAGACCAUGUCGAGUUUCAUGGACGGUUCAAACUCAUCCUGCCCAGGAACGGCUGAUAUGAAAUGCAUAUUUAUAACUUGUCUAACAAGUAGCUCAUUCAAAGAAAACGUUGACAGUCAAUCAACAGGGGGACAUGGAAAGAGAGGAUUGGAAGUGAAAUAGAGGGUUUUUCGGGACAGCCAUAGGGGAAGGACUGUGGCAUCUUCAUGUUGAUGACUGAUAUGCCAACUCUGAGGAAGUGGUGGUGUAUAUUGCUAGCGGACAAUUUCAAACUUGGGUGCAUGGUGAGCCACAGGAAAGAGUUUGCCCAUUGGACAGAUAAGGCAAAAGCAUUACUGCAGGGUGAAGUGCCACCAGUCUAUCAGCUACAGAAGUGAAAUUUGAAUAUAAUUGCUGAGGAAGAGGUGCAACCACAGCUCCUUCAAGUUAGUGGUGGCCCACUCCAAAAAGAUAUGACGGGAAAAAAAUGUUUUGGUAAAAGGACUGUGCAAGACUGCACAAAAGCCUCAGACAGGGCGGGGGGGGGGGGGGG